GGUGAAAAGCACCCCGGAAGGGGAGUGAAAUAGAACCUGAAACCGUGUGCUUACAAGUAGUCAGAGCCCGUUAAUGGGUGAUGGCGUGCCUUUUGUAGAAUGAACCGGCGAGUUACGAUUUGAUGCAAGGUUAAGCAGUAAAUGUGGAGCCGUAGCGAAAGCGAGUCUGAAUAGGGCGUUUAGUAUUUGGUCGUAGACCCGAAACCAGGUGAUCUACCCUUGGUCAGGUUGAAGUUCAGGUAACACUGAAUGGAGGACCGAACCGACUUACGUUGAAAAGUGAGCGGAUGAACUGAGGGUAGCGGAGAAAUUCCAAUCGAACCUGGAGAUAGCUGGUUCUCUCCGAAAUAGCUUUAGGGCUAGCCUCAAGUGAUGAUUAUUGGAGGUAGAGCACUGUUUGGACGAGGGGCCCCUCUCGGGUUACCGAAUUCAGACAAACUCCGAAUGCCAAUUAAUUUAACUUGGGAGUCAGAACAUGGGUGAUAAGGUCCGUGUUCGAAAGGGAAACAGCCCAGACCACCAGCUAAGGUCCCAAAAUAUAUGUUAAGUGGAAAAGGAUGUGGCGUUGCCCAGACAACUAGGAUGUUGGCUUAGAAGCAGCCAUCAUUUAAAGAGUGCGUAAUAGCUCACUAGUCGAGUGACACUGCGCCGAAAAUGUACCGGGGCUAAACAUAUUACCGAAGCUGUGGAUUGUCCUUUGGACAAUGGUAGGAGAGCGUUCUAAGGGCGUUGAAGCAUGAUCGUAAGGACAUGUGGAGCGCUUAGAAGUGAGAAUGCCGGUGUGAGUAGCGAAAGACGGGUGAGAAUCCCGUCCACCGAUUGACUAAGGUUUCCAGAGGAAGGCUCGUCCGCUCUGGGUUAGUCGGGUCCUAAGCUGAGGCCGACAGGCGUAGGCGAUGGAUAACAGGUUGAUAUUCCUGUACCACCUAUAAUCGUUUUAAUCGAUGGGGGGACGCAGUAGGAUAGGCGAAGCGUGCGAUUGGAUUGCACGUCUAAGCAGUAAGGCUGAGUAUUAGGCAAAUCCGGUACUCAUUAAGGCUGAGCUGUGAUGGGGAGAAGACAUUGUGUCUUCGAGUCGUUGAUUUCACACUGCCGAGAAAAGCCUCUAGAUAGAAAAUAGGUGCCCGUACCGCAAACCGACACAGGUAGUCAAGAUGAGAAUUCUAAGGUGAGCGAGCGAACUCUCGUUAAGGAACUCGGCAAAAUGACCCCGUAACUUCGGGAGAAGGGGUGCUCUUUAGGGUUAACGCCCAGAAGAGCCGCAGUGAAUAGGCCCAAGCGACUGUUUAUCAAAAACACAGGUCUCUGCUAAACCGUAAGGUGAUGUAUAGGGGCUGACGCCUGCCCGGUGCUGGAAGGUUAAGAGGAGUGGUUAGCUUCUGCGAAGCUACGAAUCGAAGCCCCAGUAAACGGCGGCCGUAACUAUAACGGUCCUAAGGUAGCGAAAUUCCUUGUCGGGUAAGUUCCGACCCGCACGAAAGGCGUAACGAUUUGGGCACUGUCUCAACGAGAGACUCGGUGAAAUCAUAGUACCUGUGAAGAUGCAGGUUACCCGCGACAGGACGGAAAGACCCCGUGGAGCUUUACUGUAGCCUGAUAUUGAAAUUCGGCACAGCUUGUACAGGAUAGGUAGGAGCCUUUGAAACGUGAGCGCUAGCUUACGUGGAGGCGCUGGUGGGAUACUACCCUAGCUGUGUUGGCUUUCUAACCCGC
rnacentral:rRNA from 1 species